GAAAGAUUUAUCGGUUAUGGAUGGGGAUGCGUCUGAUCAGCUAGUUGGUGAGGUAAUGGCUCACCAAGGCUAUGACGCAUAACUGGUCUGAGAGGAUGAUCAGUCACACUGGAACUGAGACACGGUCCAGACUCCUACGGGAGGCAGCAGUAGGGAAUAUUGCUCAAUGGGGGAAACCCUGAAGCAGCAACGCCGCGUGGAGGAUGACACUUUUCGGAGCGUAAACUCCUUUUGUUAGGGAAGAACAAUGACGGUACCUAACGAAUAAGCACCGGCUAACUCCGUGCCAGCAGCCGCGGUAAUACGGAGGGUGCAAGCGUUACUCGGAAUCACUGGGCGUAAAGGACGCGUAGGCGGAUUAUCAAGUCUCUUGUGAAAUCCUAUGGCUUAACCAUAGAACUGCUUGGGAAACUGAUAAUCUAGAGUGAGGGAGAG
rnacentral:rRNA from 1 species